AAAAAACCCAGAGACUCGCUAAACUUGGCUAAAUCUAAACCUCCAAGAUAUGCACUCACCCACAAUGUUUUUAGAAGAAUUCAGGACCGGAAACCUCAUGAACCGGAGGCUCAUCGCGAACCGAAGUUCUGCUAGACCAGCUUUGACAGGAUUAUUCUAUCUCUUCUUAGAGUCCUUUUUGGGAGGUGAUGGAGAAAAGGCUUUUCUUGUUUUUGGUAUCAUUUUUUGGUUUAUGACGUGGGCCCUUUAAAGGUUCAGGUGUGGAGCUGUGUCAUCUGGGUGCCAUCCCCCAAUGGCAACCUAUUCUUCUGGUGCCUCAAUGGAUCCAGUUGGAUGCAAAAUUCUAUCCCCAUUUUUUCGCAACGCCCUACCUCUUAGCGACGACCUGACCUUCUCUUAUAUAUUCUUUCCUUUCUUUCUCUGCCUUUCUUUCCUUUUCACUUCUUUCCUCUCCUACAAAUUGAGACCUUCUAUAAUAAACGUACAAACCUGUCUAUAGUGGAAUACUCCUCAGUUAAAUAUUAUAACUUGGCAGUUGAUGUUGUAAUCUAAUUUUUGCAUUUGAAUGAUGCUUUGUGCCUGCAAGGAUAGCAGAUAGAUAUAUAGCUUUAAAUUUUGACCAAACGAUAGCCGGGACACCUAUUUUAAAAGCCUACCUUACCUAUCAAAAGGGCGAUCACCUCUCGAUAUGUCUUGAUAUAUAUAAAUGUUGUUAUUUUAUGUAUUCCAAAAUCUAUAUUCUGCUGUUGUAUUUUUACUGAUAUUGGCUGCCAUAACAUCUGUACCAUCCACUGUCCAAGUUUAAAUAAAGAAUGAAAAAAUAAAUAAAUAAAGUGUCCCUAUCUGCCUAAUUGAAAUUUUGGGAGGUAUGCAUAUAUACUACCACAGAC